rnacentral:rRNA from 1 species
UGGGCAACCUGCCCCUCUCUCUGGGAUAACCCCGGGAAACCGGAGCUAAUACCGGAUACUCCGGCUGGAUCGCAUGGUCCGGCCGGGAAAGGUCCGCCGGAGAGGGAUGGGCCCGCGGCCUAUCAGCUUGUUGGUGAGGUCAAGGCUCACCAAGGCUCCGACGGGUAGCUGGUCUGAGAGGACGACCAGCCACACUGGGACUGAGACACGGCCCAGACUCCUACGGGAGGCA